UUCAACUCUUUAAAAGAGAUCGAUCUCUUUGGGAUGAAACCCAUAAUUUAUCAUCUCCUUCACGAACAAAGGGGGGGAGAAAAUCAAAGUCUUAAAGACUACGUACAGUAAAACUAAUAAGGACAUUAGUGGGAAACAUGAUGAUGAUUAUUAGGCAUCGUAUUUUGUCAAAUAGCACUGACAUUUAAACUUUAUAUGAGAACCACAUAUUGUUAACCGGUUUAUAUGUGAAAGUUUUGUCUUUAUAAACGGGGAGCGUUUUCUCAAUAUCAAACAUAGAAAGUUCACUAAGUGAAAUAAUGGAGGAGAGUAGAACUAUGUUGAAGUCACUGAUCUUACUAAUGAUGAUUUCCAGUUUUUGCCUCGAACUCACCGUUGCAGAAACCUACUGCCAUGCUCAACGUCGCUUGUUAAUUGACGCGUGCAAGAUAUUAAUUUUUAGGCAGGCUCCCCCCGCUGAAUGUUGUCGUAGAAUAAGAACGACUCCAGCGUGGUGCGUUUGUCCUUCUGUAACACCACAAAGAGCGGCUCUCAUCGAUGUCAACUACGCUGUUGGGGUAAUCCGUCAAUGCGGUCGAUAUGUAGCCCGCGGUACCAAAUGUGGAAGUAUUACAGUUCCAUAAAAAAAGCCGUUCGAGACAAUGGAGACGAAAAUAUCGUUGCCUGAAAACUAUCGUCCGUACUGUAUGAGUAUUCCACGUUGUAUCUGUUUUAAUAUUUGGGCAUUAUCGUUGGUCUUAUUUUUAUGUAGAAUAAAAUGAUGUCUGUGUUAUAAAUAGAACUGGAAUUUUAUUGUAUCGUAUGAAUUUAAAUAAGGGCAAAAUUUUAUACC